UACGGAGGGUGCAAGCGUUAAUCGGAAUUACUGGGCGUAAAGCGCGUGCAGGCGGCCUUGUAAGUCGGACGUGAAAUCCCACGGCUCAACCGUGGAAGGGCAUUCGAAACUGCGAGGCUGGAGUCCUGGAGAGGAAAGUGGAAUACUCGGUGUAGAGGUGAAAUUCGUAGAUAUCGAGUGGAACACCGGUGGCGAAGGCGGGUCUCUGGGCCGAUACUGACGCUGAGGAGCGAAAGCGUGGGGAGCGAACAGG
rnacentral:rRNA from 1 species